rnacentral:lncRNA from 1 species
UUGCAAUGAAGCAUCUGCCGCUCACUGUUUUUUUGUUAUUUUUUUUCCUGAUUACUCCAAUUCAAAAACAUCAUCCUACCAGCUCUUUUAGUUGUUAAAUAUCCCUGUGCUUGUGGCUACAUUUCUUUGCACUGGAGAAAUGAUCUCAUUAACAAACUAGUUCUGUGCGUCCUUAACACUGAGGCCCCUCGCCUGCAGCUGGAGGCAGCUCUCUGUUCAGCCCCAGUGCAGAGUGACACAGACAGGCGACAGCGUCGCUGAGCACCAACUUCUAUUCCACGGAGGCAGACAGCGAAAACCAUUUCAUAACCAUGGCAAGGCAUGAGAGAAGCACAGGGUAGCUGCAAAGUUUUGGAAAAGACCUCUGCAACAACUGGAAGCACAGUGUACCCAAGUGAAUCUAUGUGCCUAACAUGGCUUGCAUGCUCCCAGCUUCUGCACGUGAUGCAUCUGCUAUUAACAUUCAGAGAUUCACCCUGAAAAUGAAGGCAACUGUUUGGAGAACAAUGUAAAAUGAUGAGAAUAGACCAUCCUAUGAC